AGAGUUUGAUCAUGGCUCAGGACGAACGCUGGCGGCGUGCUUAAUACAUGCAAGUCGAGCGAGGUUACUGUUUUGGAUCCCUUCGGGGUGAAGAAGCUUUAACCUAGCGGCGGACGGGUGAGUAACGCGUGGGUAACCUACCCCAAAGUCCGGGAUAACAGCGGGAAACCGCUGCUAAUACCGGAUGCCUUUACCUUGGGGCAUCUUGAGGUAAAGAAAGGUAACGCUUUGGGAUGGGCCCGCGUCCCAUUAGCUAGUUGGUGAGGUAACGGCUCACCAAGGCGACGAUGGGUAGCCGGCCUGAGAGGGUGGACGGCCACACUGGGACUGAGACACGGCCCAGACUCCUACGGGAGGCAGCAGUAGGGAAUAUUGCGCAAUGGACGGAAGUCUGACGCAGCGACGCCGCGUGAGCGAUGAAGGUCUUCGGAUCGUAAAGCUCUGUCCUUGGGGAAGAAGGCGAAAGCUUGACGGUACCCAAGAAGAAAGCCCCGGCUAACUACGUGCCAGCAGCCGCGGUAAUACGUAGGGGGCGAGCGUUGUCCGGAAUUACUGGGCGUAAAGGGUGCGUAGGCGGAUACGCAAGUCCGAUGUGAAAUGCCUCGGCUUAACCGAGGAGCUGCAUUGGAAACUGUGUAUCUAGAGUGCAGGAGAGGGAAGCGGAAUUCCUAGUGUAGCGGUGAAAUGCGUAGAUAUUAGGAGGAACACCAGUGGCGAAGGCGGCUUCCUGGACUGUAACUGACGCUGAGGCACGAAAGCUGGGGGAGCAAACAGGAUUAGAUACCCUGGUAGUCCCAGCCGUAAACGAUGGGUACUAGGUGUUGCAGCUUAUGACAGCUGCAGUGCCGUAGUUAACGCAAUAAGUACCCCGCCUGGGGAGUACGGCCGCAAGGCUGAAACUCAAAUGAAUUUGACGG
rnacentral:rRNA from 1 species